rnacentral:rRNA from 1 species
GAUGAACGCUGGCGGCGUGCCUAAUACAUGCAAGUCGAGCGAACGGACGAGAAGCUUGCUUUUCUGAUGUUAGCGGCGGACGGGUGAGUAACACGUGGAUAACCUACCUAUAAGACUUGGAUAACUUCGGGAAACCGGAGCUAAUACCGGAUAAUAUUUUGAACCGCAUGGUUCAAAAGUGAAAGACGGUCUUGCUGUCACUUAUAGAUGGAUCCGCGCUGCAUUAGCUAGUUGGUAAGGUAACGGCCUACCAAGGCAACGAUGCAUAGCCGACCUGAGAGGGUGGUCGGCCACACUGGAACUGAGACACGGUCCAGACUCCUACGGGAGGCAGCAGUAGGGAAUCUUCCGCAAUGGGCGAAAGCCUGACGGCGCAACGCCGCGUGAGUUAUGAAGGUCUUCGGAUCGUAAAACUCUGUUAUUAGGGAAGAACAUAUGUGUAAGUAACUGUGCACAUCUUGACGGUACCUAAUCAGAAAGCCACGGCUAACUACGUG